rnacentral:rRNA from 1 species
UGGCUAUCUGGUCGAUCCCCAAACCUCGGAAACCGUGAUGAGCGUGUUGACCGCGGGCGCCUCGAUCCGCUCCAUCGCCAAUGUGGUGAACGUGGAGGCGACCUCCUUCGACGUGUUGAUCGAUCACGGCGAGCUGGGCUCCGGCUGGGCGACCGAGACGGGGUCGACCAUCGAGACGGACACGCCGCAAAUCGAGCGUAUCACCAUUCCUCUGCAUGAGCUUUCGGCUAUGCCAAAGGCCAGCCAGCGCCUUUUGGAUGAUAGCGCCUUUGACAUCGAUGGCUGGCUGGCUGGCCGGAUUGCCGACAAGUUUGCCCGGGCCGAGGCUGCGGCCUUCAUCAACGGCGACGGAAUCGACAAGCCGAAGGGCUUCCUGACCCAUCCGGCAACCGACAACGAGAUCUGGACCUGGGGUGAGCUUGGCUAUGUCGCCACCGGUGUGGAUGGGGAUUUCGGCAGUGCGGAUGCUCUGAUCGAUCUGGUCUACUCGCUGGGUGCCGAGUACCGCGCGGGGGCGAGCUUCGUGAUGAACUCCAAGACCGCCGGAACGGUGCGCAAGCUGAAGGACGUGGAUGGUCGCUUCCUGUGGUCCGAUGGCCUUGCCGCCGGCGAGCCGGCGCGCCUGCUCGGUUAUCCGGUGCUGGUGGCCGAGGACAUGCCGGACAUCGCUUCGGACAGUUACUCCAUCGCCUUCGGUGACUUCUCCAACGGCUACACGGUGGCCGAGCGACCGGACCUUCGGGUUCUGCGUGAUCCGUUCUCGGCAAAACCGCACGUGCUGUUCUA